UACGAAGGGGGCUAGCGUUGCUCGGAAUCACUGGGCGUAAAGCGCACGUAGGCGGAUUGUUAAGUCAGGGGUGAAAUCCUGGAGCUCAACUCCAGAACUGCCUUUGAUACUGGCGAUCUCGAGUCCGGGAGAGGUGAGUGGAACUGCGAGUGUAGAGGUGAAGUUCGUAGAUAUUCGCAGGAACACCAGUGGCGAAGGCGGCUCACUGGCCCGGUACUGACGCUGAGGUGCGAAAGCGUGGGGAGCAAACAGG
rnacentral:rRNA from 1 species